rnacentral:rRNA from 1 species
GAUGAACGCUAGCUACAGGCUUAACACAUGCAAGUCGAGGGGCAGCACAGUGUAGCAAUACAUGGGUGGCGACCGGCGCACGGGUGCGUAACGCGUAUCCAACUUUCCCGUUACUCAGGGAUAGCCUUCCGAAAGGGAGAUUAAUACCUGAUGGUGUUCAAAUUCCGCAUGUUAUUUGAACUAAAGAUUUAUCGGUAACGGAUGGGGAUGCGUGACAUUAGAUAGUAGGCGGGGUAACGGCCCACCUAGUCUACGAUGUCUAGGGGUUCUGAGAGGAAGGUCCCCCACACUGGAACUGAGACACGGUCCAGACUCCUACGGGAGCAGCAGUGAGGAAUAUUGGUCAAUGGGCGGCAAGCCCUGAACCAGCCAAGUAGCGUGAAGGAUGACUGCCCUAUGGGUUGUAAACUUC